rnacentral:rRNA from 1 species
CAUGCCCUACGGGGCGCAGCAGUAGGGAAUCUUCCACAAUGGGCGAAAGCCUGAUGGAGCAACGCCGCGUGGGUGAAGAAGGUCUUCGGAUCGUAAAACCCUGUUGUUAGAGAAGAAAGUGCGUGAGAGUAACUGUUCACGUUUCGACGGUAUCUAACCAGAAAGCCACGGCUAACUACGUGCCAGCAGCCGCGGUAAUACGUAGGUGGCAAGCGUUAUCCGGAUUUAUUGGGCGUAAAGGGAACGCAGGCGGUCUUUUAAGUCUGAUGUGAAAGCCUUCGGCUUAACCGGAGAAUUGCAUCAGA